rnacentral:rRNA from 1 species
CGGGUGUCUGGGGCGGACGGCAAGUUUACUUUGAACAAAUUUGAGUGCUCAAAGCAGGCCUAUGCCUGACAAUUCUUGCAUGGAAUAAUGGAAUAGGACUUCGGUUCUAUUUUGUUGGUUUUCGGAUCCGAAGUAAUGGUUAAGAGGGACAGACGGGGGCAUUUGUAUGGCGGUGUUAGAGGUGAAAUUCUAUGAUCAUCGCCAGACAAACUAAAGCGAAAGCAUUUGCCAAGGAUGUUUUCAUUAAUCUGGAGCGAAAGUCAGAGGUUCAAAGACGAUCAGAUACCGUCGUAGUUCUGACCAUAAACGAUACCAACUGACGAUCCGUGGGUGCUCGUUUAUUGACCCCAUGGGCAGUCCCCGGGAAACCUUGAAGUCUUUGGGUUCCGGGGGAAGUAUGGUUGCAAAGCUGAAACUUAAAGGAAUUGACAGAAGGGCACCACCAGGAGUGGAGCGUGCGGUUCAAUUCGACUCAACACGGGAAAUCUCACCCGGCCCGGACACUGUGAGGAUUGACAGAUUGAGAGCUCUUUCUUGAUUCGGUGGUUGGUGGUGCAUGGCCGUUCUUAGUUGGUGGAGCGAUUUGUCUGGUUAAUUCCGAUAACGAACGAGACUUUGGCCUGCUAAAUAGUAUGCCUGUCCUCUGCUCUUGUGCGGGUGGCGGUAGUGGUAGCCUUUCGGGGUGAUACUGCCGUACGCCGGCGAGGGCUGCGCAGGUCUAUACUUCCUAGAGGGACAAGCGGUUUUUAGCCGCACGAAAUUGAGCA